rfam:Trichobilharzia regenti genome assembly, scaffold: TRE_scaffold0001862
AUCCAGCUGGUUGACGAGUCCCAAAUAGGACGAAAUGCGUGUUAUCCUGGAU